GACGAACGCUGGCGGCGUGCUUAACACAUGCAAGUCGAACGGAAAGGCCUGCUUUCCCUUGUGGAUUGCGGGUACUCGAGUGGCGAACGGGUGAGUAACACGUGAGUGAUCUGCCCCCAACUUGGGUAUAAGCCUGGGAAACUGGGUCUAAUUCCCGAUAGGACUGCAGGGUGGUGCCUGUGGUGGAAAACGAUUUUCUAGUGGUUGGGGAUGAGCUCGCGGCCUAUCAGCUUGUUGGUGGGGUAAUGGCCGACCAAGGCGGCGACGGGUAGCCGGCCUGAGAGGGUGGACGGGCACAUUGGGACUGAGAUACGGGACAGACUCCUACGGGAGGCAGCAGUGGGGAAUAUUGCACAAUGGGCGGAAGCCUGAUGCAGCGACGCCGCGUGGGGGAUGGCGGCCUUCGGGUUGUAAACUCCUUUCGACCGCGAGGAAGCCACCUGGUUGGAAGGGUGGUGACGGUAGUGGUAGAAGAAGCACCGGCUAACUACGUG
rnacentral:rRNA from 1 species